ACUUGUGGAUUAUGGUCUGAAAUGCGGAAUUAUUUUCUUCCUCUAUUUUAUCUUCAUGGUUUAUAAAUAAAUACAUUUCCUGUGUUAAUACUUAGCCUACUAGUUAUUUUUAAACUUACUGUUAUACUCUGACAUGAGUUAAAAUGGAAACGGAAACGUGGUUUUGUGAGAAUUAUCUCAUUGUGCAAUAUGUAUUUGUGGGUGUGUGGACAAGUUUGUUUCCACGAUAGACACAUGAAGAUUGAAAAAUAUAUCAGAUAUUGCUCAUUUUUUUCUGGUGAAGUUAGUCCAAUUAACACUGAACGAAACUGUCAUGUAUCCAAUAAGUCUGAUAGCGCUUUAUCUCCUGUAUCUGAAAGGUGUAUUCAUGGACACAGAGACAAAUGAUGUGAUCUGUGCUCCUGUGGAUUCAGAUGUGACGAUGAGUUUACAAUGCAGACAGUUCAGUGGAUGUCCAUCACCUCCAUACAUGUGGAGAAAGAGAUCAAAUAAUGCGAACAAAAACAUCAACAUGACCUCAACGCAUAAAUACAGAAGAAAUAACACUGACCAUUAUUCUUACUUAACAAUUAUGAGUCUAACAAAGGCAGAUGCUGGCACAUAUUACUUUAGCCAGACCCAGAGAUUUGGCAGUAGUAUUAAA